rnacentral:lncRNA from 1 species
GUUGAUGAGCAGCCUGUUGCUAUCUUUACGAUAGACAAAGUUUUGAUGCCGAAGGAGUUGUUUAAGGCUGCAGAGGCGGAUGCUCCUGCACCUGCACCUGCAGCGGCACCAGAGGCUGAUGCAGAGUCACCUAAAUCAGCUAAGAAGAAGAAACAUAAGGCGCCUGUGGCAGCUGAUACACCAGCAGACUCACCGGCUGAUGGACCAACCGAUGAUUUUGCAGAUUCUACGGCUGAUGAUGAUAAUGGUGGCGGGUUUAGGUACAGUGGUGGGACUGUU